rnacentral:rRNA from 1 species
UCAUGAUGAACGCUAGCUACAGGCUUAACACAUGCAAGUCGAGGGGCAUCAGGGUGUAGCAAUACACCGCUGGCGACCGGCGCACGGGUGAGUAACACGUAUCCAACCUGCCCUUUACUCGGGGAUAGCCUUUCGAAAGAAAGAUUAAUACCCGAUGGUAUAACAUGACCUCCUGGUUUUGUUAUUAAAGAAUUUCGGUAGAGGAUGGGGAUGCGUUCCAUUAGGCAGUUGGCGGGGUAACGGCCCACCAAACCUUCGAUGGAUAGGGGUUCUGAGAGGAAGGUCCCCCACAUUGGAACUGAGACACGGUCCAAACUCCUACGGGAGGCAGCAGUGAGGAAUAUUGGUCAAUGGGCGAGAGCCUGAACCAGCCAAGUAGCGUGAAGGAUGACCGCCCUAUGGGUUGUAAACUUCUUUUAUAUGGGAAUAAAGGGUGCCACGUGUGGCAUUUUGUAUGUACCAUAUGAAUAAGGAUCGGCUAACUCCGUGCCAGCAGCCGCGGUAAUACGGAGGAUCCGAGCGUUAUCCGGAUUUAUUGGGUUUAAAGGGAGCGUAGGUGGACAUGUAAGUCAGUUGUGAAAGUUUGCGGCUCAACCGUAAAAUUGCAGUUGAUACUGCGUGUCUUGAGUACAGUAGAGGUGGGCGGAAUUCGUGGUGUAGCGGUGAAAUGCUCAGAUAUCACGAAGAACUCCGAUUGCGAAGGCAGCUCACUGGACUGCAACUGACACUGAUGCUCGAAAGUGUGGGUAUCAAACAGGAUUAGAUACCCUGGUAGUCCACACAGUAAACGAUGAAUACUCGCUGUUUGCGAUAUACAGUAAGCGGCCAAGCGAAAGCAUUAAGUAUUCCACCUGGGGAGUACGCCGGCAACGGUGAAACUCAAAGGAAUUGACGGGGGCCCGCACAAGCGGAGGAACAUGUGGUUUAAUUCGAUGAUACGCGAGGAACCUUACCCGGGCUUAAAUUGCAAAUGAAUAUGCCGGAAACGGCAUAGCCGCAAGGCAUUUGUGAAGGUGCUGCAUGGUUGUCGUCAGCUCGUGCCGUGAGGUGUCGGCUUAAGUGCCAUAACGAGCGCAACCCUUAUCUUCAGUUACUAACAGGUCAUGCUGAGGACUCUGGAGAGACUGCCGUCGUAAGAUGUGAGGAAGGUGGGGAUGACGUCAAAUCAGCACGGCCCUUACGUCCGGGGCUACACACGUGUUACAAUGGGGGGUACAGAAGGCCGCUACACAGCGAUGUGAUGCCAAUCCCUAAAGCCCCUCUCAGUUCGGAUCGAAGUCUGCAACCCGACUUCGUGAAGCUGGAUUCGCUAGUAAUCGCGCAUCAGCCACGGCGCGGUGAAUACGUUCCCGGGCCUUGUACACACCGCCCGUCAAGCCAUGGGAGCCGGGGGUACCUGAAGUACGUAACCGCAAGGAGCGUCCUAGGGUAAAA